rnacentral:rRNA from 1 species
GACGUAGGGGGCGAGCGUUGUCCGGAUUUAUUGGGCGUAAAGCGCACGUAGGCGGCUUUCUAAGUCGGGGGUGAAAUCCUGGAGCUCAACUCCAGAACUGCCUUCGAUACUGGAAAGCUCGAGUCCGGGAGAGGUGAGUGGAACUGCGAGUGUAGAGGUGAAAUUCGUAGAUAUUCGCAAGAACACCAGUGGCGAAGGCGGCUCACUGGCCCGGUACUGACGCUGAGGUGCGAAAGCGUGGGGAGCAAACAGG